GUAUUCUCUUCAGCAGCACACAUACUGAAUCGGAAACAAGACAGAGGGGAUUGAGUGUGGCCCCGACACAAGGACGGCAUGCAAAUUUGUGAAGCGUUCUGUAUUUUU